rnacentral:rRNA from 1 species
GGGCGGAUGAUGCAUAGCCCGAGUUGAGAGACUGAUCGGCCACAUUGGGGACUGAGACACGGCCCAAACUCCUACGGGAGGCAGCAGUAGGGAAUCUUCCACAAUGGACGCAAGUCUGAUGGAGCAAAUGCCGCGUGAGUGAAGAAGGUUUUCGGAUCGUAAAGCUCUGUUGUUGGUGAAGAAGGAUAGAGGUAGUAGCUGGUCCUUUAUUGACGGUAAUCAACCAGAAAGUCACGGGCUAACUACGUGCCAGCAGCCGACGGUAAAU